CCACCAUUGAGUUAAACCUCACAUGCACUAUGCUAGGGUACGACGUCUGAGCUUCUGUUUCGUAUUUUGUAUUGAUAUGCUCCAAAAUGUUUCCUAUGCCAUUAAUAUACUUCAAAAUGCUUCACAUACCAUUGAUAUGUUCCAAAAUGUUCCAUUUGUCAUUGAUAUGCUCCGGAACAUUUCAUACGCUAUUGGUAUGCUCCAAUUACUCUGUGCUUCAUUUGCUAUGAACUGAUAUGUUUUGAAAUGUCCUAUUUGCCAUUGAUAUGCUUCGGAACAUCUUGUACGCUAUUGAUAUGCUCCAAUUACUCUAUGCUCCAUUUGCUAUGAACUGAUAUGUUCUGAAAUGUCCUAUUUGCCAUUGAUAUGCUCCGAAACAUCUCGUACGCUAUUGAUAUGCUCCAAUUACUCUGUGCUCCAUUUGUUAUGAACCAAAUAUGUUUUGAAUGACAUGACACAUACGAGUUUGUAUCUAAUGAGAUGGUAUCCUUGAGAAUUCUUGUAUUCUGCCUUGCAUUAUGAUAUCUUACUUGUUUGAAAUCGUUCCUUCUAUUCUGAAUAUGCUUUGUCACUUGCUGAGCUGUUUUUAGCUCACUCCGUUGUUAUAUAAAUCUUUCAGGUCAGCUUGUCACUCUUUGAGAUGUUUUGAAUUGGGCUGAGGCAG
rnacentral:lncRNA from 1 species